CAGCCGCCGCGGUAAUACAGAGGGUGCGAGCGUUAAUCGGAUUUACUGGGCGUAAAGCGUGCGUAGGCGGCUAAUUGAGUCGGAUGUGAAAUCCCCGAGCUUAACUUGGGAAUUGCAUUCGAUACUGGUUAGCUAGAGUGUGGGAGAGGAUGGUAGAAUUCCAGGUGUAGCGGUGAAAUGCGUAGAGAUCUGGAGGAAUACCGAUGGCGAAGGCAGCCAUCUGGCCUAAUACUGACGCUGAGGUACGAAAGCAUGGGGAGCAAACAGGAUUAGAUACCCCCGUAGUCCCUGUCUCUUAUAC
rnacentral:rRNA from 1 species